CUGGCUCAGGAUGAACGCUAGCUACAGGCUUAACACAUGCAAGUCGAGGGGCAUCAUGUCGGUUGCUUGCAACCGAUGAUGGCGACCGGCGCACGGGUGAGUAACGCGUAUCCAACCUUCCCCUUAGUAGGGCAUAGCCCGUAGAAAUGCGGAUUAACACCCUAUGUUCUUCAUGGAUGGCAUCUGACGUGAAGCAAAGUUUACGCUAAGGGAUGGGGAUGCGUCUGAUUAGGUUGCAGGCGGGGUAACGGCCCACCUGGCCGACGAUCAGUAGGGGUUCUGAGAGGAAGGUCCCCCACAUUGGAACUGAGACACGGUCCAAACUCCUACGGGAGGCAGCAGUGAGGAAUAUUGGUCAAUGGGCGAGAGCCUGAACCAGCCAAGUAGCGUGCAGGAUGACGGCCCUAUGGGUUGUAAACUGCUUUUGUGCGGGAAUAACGGUCGCCACGUGUGGUGAUGUGCAUGUACCGUACGAAUAAGGAUCGGCUAACUCCGUGCCAGCCGCAGC
rnacentral:rRNA from 1 species